AGCCUGCCCAGUGAAUAUGUUCAACGGCCGCGGUACCCUGACCGUGCGAAGGUAGCGUAAUCAUUUGCCCCCUAAUUAGAGGCUAGUAUGAACGGCUACACGAGGGCUAAACUGUCUCCUUUUUUUGAUCAGUGAAACUAAUCUCCCCGUGAAGAAGCGGGGGUGUACCCAUAAGACGAGAAGACCCUAUGGAGCUUUAAACAAAGCAACAACUGCAGGCCCCACCCCCCCCAACCCUAAGGGCAGCUCACUGAUUGCUAGUUUUGGGUUGGGGCAACCACGGAGUAAAAUUAAACCUCCGCGCUGAAAAAGGCACGACCCUAAGCAAAAACCUACAACUUUAUGCAUCAACAAAUUGACAACAUUGACACAAUAUUUUGAGCAACGAAACAAGUUACCCUAGGGAUAACAGCGCUAUCUACUUCGGGAGCACAUAUCUACAAGUAGGCUUACGACCUCGAUGUUGGAUCAGGGUAUCCUAGUGGUGUAGCAGCUACUUAAGGUUCGUUUGUUCAACGAUUAAAACCCU
rnacentral:rRNA from 1 species